ensembl:snRNA
GUGUUGUAUGAAAGGAAGGAAAGUUAGCCCUCCCCUUGACAAGUAUGGAAGAGGCUUUGGCCUGCAACGCACAUAUGGUUGAUUAAGGUAUUGCCACCUACUUUGUGGCAUCUAACUGCAGUAUUUU